UGAAUGGUGCCAUAUAAUGAAUCCUCUAGUUUCCUUCAAAGAAAAAAUGCAAAUAGUGCAAGCUUCUGACAUGGAUCUACUAAUGUGCCUCAAUCCUGAACUGCAGGGAUCACCUUUAAGGGAUAAGAGGGUAGCUCAUUCUCUAUGCUGACUUCAUCUUUUGGCCUCU
rnacentral:sRNA from 1 species